AAUCUUUUCCUUGGCACACAACCUCCCCUUCUUCCUCACUCUUUAAUGGUUCCUCGCUUUUAGUUGGUUCUUCAGGAUUGGUUAUUAUUGCCCCAAAUAUAGAAGCUUCCUCCUCCUUCGGGUUCACCUGCUGCUGAUCCUUAGGUUCCACUGUGGCUGGCACAUUCUGCUGAUCACCCAUUGUUUUCUCAUCGGAUGAUUCUGUAUCAUUUUGCAACUUAUGAAUAAUCGUGUUGCUGUCAAAUUUCAAAAUGUAGGCCUGAUUGCAUCCCUCAUAGAGCCUCUCUCCUAAUGUGUCGAUAAUGUAGUAAGCUUUCGGUUCAACCUUUAGAAUGAAAAAAUGGUCGUUCCAACUUACAACAUACACCUGAGGUUCAUCAUCGCUUGGACAUUCCAAUCCAGUGCGGCUUAUCUCAUCCCAAAUGUUAUCGAAGGACAUGGCACCUUGCAAAAAGUCAAAUCUUCCCUCAUCCAUCCCUUCUGGAUGGAAAAACCCGAUAAAGGACUUGCCAGGGAGUACAGAGAGAAAACGUAUCUUGGCUUGGAGAACUGUUUCAAGGUCGAAGUGUUUGUCAGGGAACCGCUCCCUGUAGGUUUCAUUCUCACAGAGGUUUCUCCAUUCCAAGGACCCUUCUCUGAUGAGACUAUCAAACUGGGACUUAAUGGGCAUCAGACCACGGUUAUUCUGAAACCAAUCAGCAAUAACAGCAACAAGGGCUGUACAUGCACUUUCACCUGCAGCCCGCUCACUUCGCUGAUCAAUGGAAGCAAAGAAAACCUCAGUUUGAAGCUUCAUCUGCCCAUCACGGCUUAUCACUUCUUUUUUCUCCCAACUGCCUAUGGCAAAAUUGUCAUCACCAAAUUCAGAAACUGAUGAUCGAUUUGCAGAUGUAUCCUCGUCUGCCUUAUGCCACUGCAAAACAGCAACCAUUGUUUCAAUUAACCAUGUCUAAUUUAUGAAAUGAAUUAGUCAUCACAAAACCACCUUUACCAUCCUUCAAGAUGAUCAUCAGUAUUUUCAUUUUUGUACUUUUAAUACUGCUAAAUUGGAAAUAAAAAGCUUUAUAAAAGCAUGAAAGUAAGGGAAAUCAAUAGAUGACUUACCCCAAGAGCAAGAGAUUCAUCAGAGCUAAGCUGCCGGCGAUCAAAAUCAAUAUCAUCCCCCCCUUCUUCUCCAUAUGCCUUCUUCAACAACGGCUCUCCUUUAGCUUUAGGAGACCUAAAGCUCAACUUCCUCUUCCUCCAAGGUAAUAUGCUGCGCUUAGAACUUUGCAAGAGAGAUGGUGCAGACACUGAUGGUGUAUAAUCAUCACUAUGUGAGCAACCCACAUCUGACUUGCGAUUGCUGUAGUAAACCCAAUCUUCAUCUUCAUCAUUUAUCAUUGUACUAGAGUGAAAGGGUCCUCCAGCAUAGUUUGCAGAAGCCAGCGUGCCAUAACUAAAUGACUUCCUCACAGUAGAAUCUUCCUUGAUCUCAUCAGACUCUCCUUCCUCCAAAUCAUCGAGUGACUCAGAAUCAAAUGGAUAGUUAUCCUCACCAUCCUCGCUCCUGGCAGAGCACCUGCCUUCACUGCCCUCUUCCUCGCGACAGGCCUUUUUUGCUCUCCUGGUAGACACAUAUCCUGUAAAAAUCUUUACCUUUCUGAGACCAGCUUUAAGUGCAGAAAGCUCAUCCUUUUCAGUUGAGACAGCUUCUCCAGAUUGAGGUGGCGAUGGAACUGGUACUAUGGCUCUCUGUAAUGGCUCAGAGGUCUCGGUAGCAGUUCUCAACUCCAAUAAGCUGAGCGAUACCUGCAUGAUUCAUACAAGCUGAGGUAAGAAACUAUAAAAAUUGUGAAAAUAUUAAAACCGGAAAAGGCAGAUUUAAAAAUGUUGCGGGAUAAUUUUAAAAAACCAGUGAGAAUGUGAUGGAAAUUGGAAGAAAUUCAAAGGCACAUACACAGAGCAAGGGUUGAGGCUCAGCCACACCAGCAGAGACCACAAGAGGAAGUCUUAACUCAAACUCUUUCUGUUCAGCUGCAGAUGCAAAUUCGGCAAGGUUCACUGUUGCUGUUCCAACAGCAGGAACCUUGUUCUUCUGCCCUUGGUUCCCACCCUGGAUCAGAAAACAAAACAGCUAAGUUCCCCAGAAAGUUAACAAGUUUAAAAACGCAAAACUAUCAGCCAAAAAAACCUCAAAGAUAUCCAAAAGACCCAAGCUUUGUCGAGUCAAAAUGAUAAGAGAAAAAAUACUCCAUUAAAUCCAACCACCAAAUCCCCAAAAAUCAAUUAAGAAUCCUUUGUUCCCCCAAAUUGACUACCACAAUAACCCACAAAACAAAAAAAAUAAAGAACACCCCUUCAUAUGCUUAUAUUCUUCAAUUAAGAAACCUCUUCAUCUCAAUUACAAGCAACCCGUAAACUAUCAGUAACCAAAUACCAAAAAUGAAAUUUUAAAUUCAUCCCUGAAUUUAAAAAAAAAAUCAUAUCUCAAGUUUCAUAAACGCUAUCAGUUUCACAGUCCACAUGAAUUUUCCUAGAUUCUACAGCCCAAAAUUUUUCUUUUUCUAUUUCAACAGACAAGAAGACAAAAUCCCACUUGAUAAAUGACAAUAACACAAAAGACCCAUAAAACAUCUUGAGAAGAAAAAUAAAUUUAUUUGGAGAGAGAAGCAAAAAAGAAAAGAAGAACUCACAUUGAAGACAGUGAAAGAGAUCUCCCAAGGAUGAAACACAUUUUCUUUAUAAGCAGACAAAGUACACAAACUCUCGAACUCCUCAUCCCACUCCACCAAAACGCCACCGUUUUCCCCCUCCGCACCACAAACCUCCACUUCUUUCGUAAAAUUCCUCUUCACCGCCGUCCUCCUCAGCGAGCUCAAGGCCAAUUUGGGUCCUUUCCACCUAAUCUCCACCGUCAAUUUCUCCGACUUAUCCUUCAAAUCACCUCCUGAAGAUGUCCCAGGCGCAGCAGCUACAGCUUCCCGCACUACAUCCCAACCCUCCAUCCUUCGAACAACGAGCCUCACCUCGUACUUCUUCGAAACCAGCGGUGGCCAUGGCCGCCACCUCAUCAUUUUGACCACCAUUCCUCACAACAGAACAAAAGAAAACUAAAACCUCCUAAUUAUUGUGAAAAUAUUCAAAAACAAAAACAGAGAGGGUUUGUUUUCUCUAUAAACUGGACAUAAUUUAGUCAAUGAAUAUGAAUGUAAGAAGCAAAAUCAGAUAUGCAAGGGAGAAAAAGAUGGAAUACGCCUUUGUGGAUUUUUAGUUUUACAGCGAAGAGGGUUUUUUUUUUCUUUCUUUUAUUUCUCUCUUUAUUUAUCACGAGCACAGAAGAUGGAAAAAACAGGGAACGAUGUGAGAGACAGAAGGGACAGAGAGAGAGUUAUAUUUGAGAGAGAGAGAGAGAGAGAGAGUUAAGUUAACUAUGGUUAAAGUAUGGGAGUUAGGGUGAAGGAUGGUACUGGGAAGGGAAGGGAUGCAUCCCGCAUGUAACGGCGUUCUUUUGUUGACAAGGAAGGAGUUGACUUAGCUCCCUAUUUUUAUUUUGUUUUUUUCUUUUUCUUUUUAUUUAUUUGUGUUUAAUAGUCUUUGUUUGUUUGAUGUUUCUUUUUUUUUUUUUGGAUAAACAUGUGAAUUUUUUUGAUAUGUUUUAUGCGCUAAGUUGAAAUAUUUUUAUAAAAUUAUUUUAAAUAAAAAGAAUUACAUUAAAAUGAUUUUUAGUUGAGAGGGAGUUUUUUAUGUUGUUAUUAUCAUCUUGUGAAAAUAUUAAGAAUCAUUUGUUAGGGUUUAAUUAUAUUUUAAAAAUGUUUAAAUUUUAUUUGUUUUAAAUUAAUUUUUUUAAUAUUUUUAAUUGUUUUAAUGUGAUGAUAUCAAAAAUAAAUUUUAAAAAAUUAAAAAAUAUAUUAUAUUAAUAUAUUUUCAAGUAAUUUGUAAAAUAAUUGUUACUAUAAUUUAUUAUUUAAGCAUGUAAAGGAGCAUGCAUGCACGAGUAUGUUAAGAUAAAUAUUAUGGGACUUAAUUGAUUUAUAAAAUCUAUAAAAAGAAACUAAGAAAACAAAAUAUUAACAUCAAAUAUGAUUUCAUUAUGCAUUGAAAAUAUAAAAUACUGUUUCCUGUUAAAUUUGAACUCCAAUGCUGGCAAGGGAAAGAGGGAGUCUUUUUAACGCUUUUAAAUGUACUGACAAAAACAUCAUUAUAUUUUUGUUUUAUUAUUAUUGAUUUGCAGUCUUUGAAUGAAUUAGUUUACUCAUAGCUCAAUUAAUUUUUAUAAAUUUUAAAAUUAAUAAUUAAAUAAAUUUUUAAUAAUCAUUAAUAUUAAAAAUUACAAAACUUGAAUUUAAAAUCACAAUAAAAACAAAUUUUAAUUUUAUGUUUUUAACACUAAACCACUUACUAAAUAGUUUUAUUAUCAAAAACACCAUUAAACCAUGAAAUGCUGGCGUGAUUGGUCUGUAAUAAUAAUAAUAAUUUAUUUACAUGGAAUUAUAAUUGGAGUUUCCAAAUCUGUGGUUUUAUUCGAGGAUAAAUUGCUUACGUGAUGAUGUAAGGUUUUUCAAAUCAUGAUAUAUAUAUAUAUAUAUAUAUAUAUAUAUUAUCACGUUAGGUAAUACAAUAAUAAUUAUAGUGUAUAUUAACUAAUAAAUCAUCAAUCAUAUUUUGUCACAUCGUUACAAUCUUAAUAAAAAAUAAGUGUUUCUAAUAUUAUCCUUAUUACAAUAUAUUACCAUACACACAUCUAAAUUACAUGUCUAAAGUACGACCAUACAAGUGUGUCAUUAUGUUGUAUGAAAAAACAUGGUUUUACAAAAUAGCACUAUUUAUGAGAAAUAGAUUUUAAGAAAUAGAUCACACAUUAAUCUACAUGGAAUUUCAAGAUUUUUCAAAUAUUUACUGGCACGUGUGGUAAAUAUUUUCAUUAAUAUCACCAUAUGAAAAUUAAUUAUUUCUUUAACAGCCACAUGGUUAUGUUCAGUGUGUGCAUUUUAAUAAAGGAAAAAUUAAAAGACAUAUUUUUUUAUUGUUCACCAAGAAUAUGGAUAGAGCAAGUUAAUUUUACCCUUGCUAGAAAAACUAAUUAAGCAUGAAAUUGGAGAUAGAAAUGUAUUUUUCAUGGAAUAUAUUCGGCAUUGCAUAUUUGAAAAUGAUACGUGAGUUUCUUUUUAUUACAAUACAAAUUUUUUUUUGCCUUUAAAAACACAAAAAAAUAAUCCUUAAGUUAUGGGUUCUUCUAUCUUUUUAAAUAAUAAUAAAAAAAAAACAAUAUAUUCUAGUGAGAGAGAAAAAAUAUGAAUGCACAGAAUAACAAAAUUACUCUUGGAAUUUGAAAAAUCAAAAGCUAACUAUAGGGUCUUUUGGUCCUUUUAAACUGGUUAUUUUUGUGAUUCUUAGAUUUUGAUAGGGUACCUUAAUAAUUUUAGAUUGAAAUGAUUUUAAAAAAAUUGUGGACUUCUGCAUAGCAUAUAAUAACCUCCAUACUGUUCAAGUGGCAUGUGAGAGCUAUAGAAAAAAAAUAUACAUGUAUCGAAUGGCAAAAUUAGCCUUGAAAUAUUUUUUAUCUGAUUGCUUUCUUUCUAUCCUUCAUUCUUUUCUUAAUUGUUUUUUUCUUUUAAUUCAAUCUCUUUCCAUUUUGGCAGGUAACACCAUUUCUCUGAUAGAAGAUAUCCAUCCAUUUUAUAUUUUUAAGAAGAGGCUCUAUCUUUGGAGGUUUAUAAAAAUUAAUUAAUUUACACAGGUCCAAUCCUGUCGAAACCAAGUUAUUAUUUAUGUUAAAACUAGGGGCCAUGUUAAGAAUUUUACUUCUUUUUUAAUUGUUUAAUAUGAAGUUUGAAUCUUAAUGAUUAAGAUAAUAAUAUUUUCUUUAACCACCAUUCUUCCGCCAAAACCUAGAAUUUAGUUGAGCAAACAAAAUGCUUACUUUGGUAACAAUCUAACAAUAUCAUUUUCGUCACUUGCCAACCAGAUUUGUUUUUAUUUUCUGGUUCUUAAAAGGGGAUUUUUCCUCCAAACAUUUCCACCUUUCCUAGCUCCUACCAUGUUUCUAUUAUUAUUAUUAUUAUUAUUAUUUAGGGUAAACUUCUAUUUGUCCCAAUAGAUUCAUUAAUCUUCCAACUCUCCACUCCUAGUUUAAAAUUUUCCCUUGGUUUCUUUUUAUUCUCCAUUGAGUUCUCGUUUGGAAACGUGGUAUAAAUCAUUCUUUAAAUUUUAAUUUUUUUAUAUUUAAAAUGAUUUUUUUUGUAUUUUUAUAUUAAAAAUAAUUUUUAAAAAUCUAAAAAAAAUUAUUUUGAUGCAUUUUCAAGCGAAAAACUCUUUGAAUCGUUACCACUAUCAUAACCUCAAACAUACCCUAAUUCUCAUGUCACUCUUAACCAUUAAAAUGUAAAUUCCACAAUUAUUUAUUUGAGUUAUGUUUGAAGAUGUUUUCAAUUUUUCCAAUUAGAACCAAAGUCCUAAUAUAUAUACACACACAUACACUAAUCUUUUUUUUCUUCUGUUUUCUUCACCUUUCAAUAUGAGUUUUCUAAUAGCUAAACACCGAAGUCAUCUACAAUCGAGGCCAUUUUCAUCAGAAAAAUCUAUAUCAGAUAGUUAAGACUCUGAAUUUGAGUAAAAAUAAUUAAACAGAGAAGGGCAAUAUCUAAAACCCCAGAAAAAAAAUCAAUAGGAAGUGUAAAAAAUAUAGAGCAAGAGUGUUAAUUGAAGCCGAAAGUCCGAUUUAUAAGAUCCUACAAUCUGAACACUAGCAUAUUCAAGUACAGUAAAUAAAAUACAACUAUCAAAUGUUUCCACUUGCUGGUGGGUGGUGGGUGGUGGGUGCUAUUAAUAUUGACACAUGCCCAGACAUGCACUAUAAAUCAUAUAUCUAUGCACCUUAUCAAUUCAACACGAUAAAAACUAGUAUAUAUUUUUUUUUUCCUUACAAAAACAUAAGGGAAAUUCGUUAUAGAGAACAAAAACCUUGUUACCCCAAUAUAGACAUGUAAGGCAGGUGGUCGAACGGUGCUUUUGAAAUUCUUUAAAAUUUUAUGUAAUUUAGUUUUAAACAUUAAUAUUUUUUUAAGUUUUUGAAUUAUUUUAAUUUGUUGAUAUAUAAAAUAAAUUUUAAAAAUUAAAAAAAUAUUUUUAUAAAAUAUUUUUUUAAAAAAAUUAUAAUUUCAGAGCCUUAGGAGGACACUAUUUGCACGGUGUAAGCAUUAAUUUCGUCGAGGUACCCAAAACUUGGUUGGGAAUAAAUUUUAUUUUUUUGAGUUUACUCCAAGAAAUCUCUUUUUUAUUACGGUGAGUUCUAGAAGUACGAGAUGACUCUCCAUUUUGAGUGAUUACUUAUGUCGUAUGUUUCCAUCAUUUUGAAGAUUACCCCUAGGCUUCGUGAUACAUCAAAGUACAAUCGAGUGAAUAAACGCUUAUCCUUGAAGGGAAAACAAAAAAGAGUUAUGGAGUUAGACGGUACAAGCAUGAAUUUCAUCUUCACAAAAAUAAAAAUAAAAAACAUAUUUAUCACUUGAUAGCUUAGCUAUAAUUGCUCAUUCGUCUUCUGUUGGUGGAAAAAUUGUAGCGUUUUUCUUUAUACAGAAAAGGGAAAUGGAAAGAGAACUGAAAAAACUGCAAGAACAUUUUUCAAAAGUACUAAUCCAUCAUCUAGAAAAUUCUGCAAUACAGAUCCUUCAAAUGGUAAUUAAUUUGAUUCACAAUUAUAUAUAAAUUAUAUUUUAAAACAUUUCCUAGUACCUUAAAUUUUUAAAUUGAUAUGAUUCUUUAAUCAUUUUGUUAACUAAACAGUUACGAAUUUAAAUCUCAUUAUCUCAUUCUAUUUAUUAAAAAUUAAACACAAUAUAAUAUGAACAUGCAUAAAUUUCAAAUUCAAAAAACUUUUAUUUAAAGAGGUAUAUUAAAAAAUUAUAUAAGUCAUAUCUCGAGGCAUCAUCGGCUUAAGCUUUCUAGUUAAAAUAAUUUUUUAACAAGUUCUUCAUGAAAUUAAAAAAUAAAGAAGAAGAUUUCGUCUUUGGAGGGAAAAAUUGAAAAAUAACAAAAAAAAUUAAAUAAUCUCACCUAACAUCUUGAAUUAUUAAAUUAAAAUAGUUAAAACACAAACACAUGCAUUCAUUUAGUGAUUACAACACACACACACAACUCUAAAGUGAAUACAAAAUUAUAAAUGAAAUAUUUUAAAAUAUCUAAGAAAUAUUUUAUUAGGGUCUUAAGCAAUCUUCAUUUUGUAUUUUGAUUCUUUUAUUAAGUAGGGGAAAUUUUCAUAAAACAUAAUUAAUAAAUAUACUUACUUAAAAAAAAAUUUGUUAAUUGAAGGUCUUUAGCUAUCAUUCAAGUUGUAUAUAUGUUCUGGCCGGCUGUAUUAUACCCUGAAAAGAGGGGGGGGUGGAAUUCACACCUAAAAUAGCAAGAAGAAGAAGCAGAAUCCUAGCUACAUUAUGCCUCGAAGUAAUCGCUUAUUAUAUAUGAUAAUUAUGGCUUAAGUUGCUUCAGGAUCGCAUCGACUUAGUUUUCUCAAUUGAUUAGAAAACACAUUGACCAAAGAAAAGAGAAGAAAAUCACGCGUUUUUGUAAAUAUUUUUAAUUGUUUCUUUGGUAAGUCGAGGGAGGAAUCACAUCAUUCAUUAGAAUCGUCCAAGAAAACCAAGCAAAGUCUAGCACAGUAGCCCUCUCUUUCCUCUUCCCUGUUUUAGGUGGUUAGGUUCCUUGUGCUUCAGUGACUGCUGGUCUGGUUAGGUGAUCCGAUCUGACUCCGAUAAUUAGGUCAACUUUUAAAUAUUAACUGACCCUACAAGCUCUGUUUCAUCUUCAACGGAUCUUUGACCUGCUGCAUGUGCACCACGCGUGGGUGGGUUCUUGCUUACAAGAGUGAGUAGGGAUCAUAGACUUUUUGGAACGUGAGGUUUCCAUGGGAAGGGUAUGGAUAUAUACUCUCAUAGAAGCUAAGAUUUUCCUUCGGGUGAGGGCGACCCCCUGCAUUUAAUAUGCCUUUACACCUUGCCUUUGUUAAUUUGUUGAAGUUUUUGGAGCCUUGGAAUAUGGGAAACGAUUUAGCUGUAAGGCAUCUCAAAGACAUAUAUAUAUAUAUAUAUUAAUUUAGCUUUUCAAUCCUUGUUUUACAUGUUACAAGAGAAAUGCUAAACAAAAUCUUAAAAUAUAGUUUUGUUGCAAGAAUGUUAUUUCUACUUCUCUAUAAAAAAUUACAAAAUUUUUAUAAAAUAUUAUUUAUUAUAAGUUUAACAAAUUCACUAGAAUUAAUUAAAAUUGAUUUUUUUUUAAUUUAAUCAUUUAAUAUUAGGUUGAUUAAGAAUUAUUGGUGUUAUUUUUAGACCUAUUAAGUCAAUUGGUCAUAUAUAAUUAUUAAAAUAAUUAUUUAUUAAAUAUAUGUAAACCAUUUAAAAAACCAUAUUAUUAAUUUAACUCUACUAGCAUAGAGCAUUGAGAUGCUUUAAAAAUCUAUAUUAUUAAUUUAACCUCUACUAGCAUAGAGCAUUGAGAUGCUCUCAGGGUCAAGAUGCCAAUUAUCCAAACCUCAUUCAAAGUGAUUCUUACGAUCACCGAUAUCAUUUGCUUAAUUACUACGUACCUUAACGUUGGAUUUGUACUUUAUUGACGCGGUAGUAGCUAGACUAGUAAUUGAAUAUAAUUAAAUUGCUUUCUAAACUUUUUACAUUUAUUUUAUCAGGAUUCUAAACUUUUAACAUUUUUUUUUAUAACAUAUAUGACUUUCAAGGAUCUGUUUUUUCGGUUUAUUAAUGUACAUUAAAGAGAACUAAAACCUUUUAGGAAAGUAUAUAGAUCUAAAUUCAUUGUAGUUAUUUAUUAAAAUAAUGUAAUUAUAAUGAUUUUCUUACCUUUCUAUUCAAAAAACUUAAAACAUGCUUAUAAGGGUAUUAAAGUCUUUUUAUAUGGUUCAUUUUCCCUUUCUUUUUUCUUGAAAAUUACUCUAUUGGUUGUUUGUAUUUAAAUUUCAAUCCUUGUUUAUGUUAAUUUAUAAUUGUUGGUCUUGGUUUUUUUUUAAAAAAAAAAAAUAUAUUUUUUAAUUUUAUUAUUUAAUUUUAAUUUUUAAAUAUUAUAUUCUCAAAUAUGGUCAUUAUUAUUUGAAUUUUUAAUUUUUAUCUUUGAUUCUUUUGUAAAAAAUUUAGUAAUUUUUAAUUUUAUCAUUUAAUUCAGAUUGAUUGUAUUAUGUUUUUUAAUUUGAUUCUAUUUGUUUUGAUUUUUAAUUUUUUUUCUUGAUUUUUUUGUAAUUUUUUUUAAUUUCACCUAUUAAUUACAAUAUUAAUUUUAUUUUUCUAUUUGUUUUUAAUUUAUUUACAUUAUUAUUUUUAUUUUAUUUCAACACUUGAAUAUUAUUUUUAGUAAAAAAUAAAAUAAAAUAAAGAAUACAACCCGUAGCGAAUGAUGGAGACCAAGGCUAGUCUAAUCUAUAGGUAUUUACGGGUUUUUUAUUAUUGUGUUUUGUAAACUAUAAACGUCAGAUAAGUUAAUUAUAAUUCGGAAUAUAUUUAAUUGAAUAGCAGAUUUGGGUCAAAGAAAGUGUAUGAUACUUGUUAUCUGGUAAGGAGAUGAAGAGAGGGGAAAUGAGUACACUAUAAAUUUAUAAAUUUAAGUGACUGUUUGAGAGUAUAGUUAAAAUUGUUUUUUAAAUUAUUUUUUGUGCUGAAUUAGUUAAGUUGUGUAUGUUUCAUCGCAUGUCUGUUAAAAAAAAAUUCAAUGUGGAGGCAUUUCUAACAUAUUUUUUUUACAUGAAAAAAUAAUUUCAGAUAAAAAGUCAAUAUAUAUAUAUAUAUGUUUAAUUAAAUAGAUAGAGGAUUAUAUAUGUAAAUAAAUGAAAAAAAAAUUGUUAAUAUUAAUUAAAAAAUAAAUUAGAAAAUUAAAAUAAAAAUAAAAAUAAAAAUGUUUAAUCUCUCAACACAGUUAAUUAACUCUAUUUGUAUUUAAUAGCUUUGGUUUUUAGAAUCAAGUUUUUAUUUAGUAAAACAAUAAUUAAAUUAGAUAUGUUAAAAAAACAUUGAAUAAAAUUAAAGAAAAAAGAUUAGGUAGGGAUGCACUAUAAGAAUAUCUACUAAAUAAAUAUUAUUGUCUUAUUUGAACUAGGUCAAAACCAAAUAAUAUUUUAUUAAAAAAAUACCACAAAAAAUUAAAUUUAUCUAUUUUAAUUAAUCUCAAUUAAAAUUUAAAACCUCUCAAGGUCAGGGAUCCAACUAGUUUAGUUAUUUUCAAUUUAAAUCAAAGAACAAAAAAAUCAAAUCAAAUUUACUUAAAAAAAGCCACAUGCUUGGUAUUUUUUUAAUACCUCAAAUAAUUGUUUUUUAAUCGAAUGAAACCCAUCAAUUUCUUUGAUUGCUGGAAUGUGGAAAAAUAAAUGAAUUUCUCUCUCCUAUACUAUUAUUCAAAGACUCUCUUUCAUUUGAAAAUCAGGGGGCUACAACAUAAACAGAAUGAGUAGUUAUACCAAAAUAUAUAAUUGUCAAACUCAAAGGACCGAAAGAGAAUUUUAUCAAGAAACUAAAACACAAAAUCUUUUUAAAAAAUGCUGAUACAUACAAUGUUGCUAAAGAGAGAACCCUUAAUUUUAUUCUCAAUGUCAAUCUCAGUCCCUUUCAUUCUAAUUUUAUGAUAACAAAAUAAAUAAAAUAUUUUUCAUUAAAUUGAGCAUCGAAACAAUGUCAUGAUAUGUUUUUGACACGAUAAGGAAGUGUACUUUAAUUGUUUUAUUGAUAUUUGAAUAUUUAAAUUUAGGUUAGUGAUGCAAAUAAAUAAAAUUUUUGAUGUUAUUUAUUUUUAGCUCAUAGGUUAACUUUGAGCUUGAAUUUACAUCUUUAAAUAAAUUUACCCCAUAUGAUCUUAAAGUUCAUAACAUGCUCUUUUAAAACUAUCCAAUCAUGUUCAUUAGAGUUGUGUACAAUGAGUUAUGAUUGUUUUUAUUUGAAUAUCACAUAAAUUUUGGAUAAAAUAUUUGCAAGUUUGAAUAUAUUCUAUAUAUCACUUACUUGUAUUAUUUAUUUUGAUUAAAUUACAAACAUAAAUAUAGAAGUGGAUGAACACAAAUAAUGAUCAGAGUUUCAUGUAAUUAAUUACUUAUUUAAAUUGGUUAGUAGUUCAAUUUUAAUAAUCAAUAAUUACAAUGGAUAGAAUUCCACGUCUUAAGAAUCGACAUCACCACUAACCAUUAACUUAAAAGAAAUUACUCAUUACAUCAACAAACAUUAUCAAAUUGUUACGUUGCUUAUCAGCUACUAAAUUAUAAACAUGAUUUUUGGUAUUCUGUAAAGCAAAAUCAUGUCAUUUAACCUUUGCCAAAAAUCAUGUCAUUUAACCUUUGCCAAAAAGCAUGUCAUUUAACUUUUAGUGCCAGAAUCUUGCUAAUGACACCACACAAACAUGAAGUAACUAUCGUGAUUGGCAAAAUUUUGUAUUUUUUAAAAUUAUUUUUAUUUAUUUUUGAAUUGUUUUAAUGUAUUAAUAAUCUAUUUGAUUUUUUUAAAAAAUAUUACUUUAAUAUAUUAUUAGCUUAUAUCUCUUCUCUCUUUUUUAGGAACCACGUGAAUUAAUUGACAUAGUUGUGAAAAAUAUCUCUACGCAACUGCUUUCAGUAUUGGAUCUCAAGUUGAUUAGUUUGUUUGGAAAUAUAAUUAUAAUUAAUAAAAAUAUUUUUAAAAAACAACGAAUCAAUCGCUCAUAUCUCUUCUCUCCUGUAGAAACCAACCAUUCUCACGUGAAUUAAUUGACGCUGUUGGGAAAAAAAUCUCUAUGCAAUUGCCUUCAGUUUUGGAUUUCUAGCUAAUUAGCCUGUUUUUUUUUUUUUAAAAAAAAUAAUUUUUUAUAUCAGUAUAUUAAAAUAAUUUAAAAUAAAAAAAUAAAAAAAUAAAAAAAUUUCAAUUUUUUUCAAAAAUAUUUAUUUUAAUAAACAGCACCCUUCUCUCUCUCUCUCUCAAUUUGCUUUUCUUGUCUUCAUAUAUACAUCUAGUGGAAAGGGGGAAAUGAACCAAAAAUAAAAAUCAGUGAAGGACUCUCCUUUAACAGUCAAAAAGAGCACGCAGACACUACUUGAGUUUUAUCGCCACCUCACCACUGUGCCAUUUCAUAUGGACUCUUAAUUUUGAAUUGACACGUGUCAUCGGUGCCAAAUGAAACCGUUGAGUUGCCAGAUCCCUCGGUUCUAGUUAAAUGUACAUGUCAUCGUCAUUAUUUUUUUUAAAAUGAAAUUAUUAAUGAGAGUUGAAUAAAAAAUCUUUUAAAUUGAAUGAAUUUUCUUCUCUCUUGAAAAUAACUUUAUAAACUAUUGAAUUUAAAUAAAAUAACAAGGAAAUAUAUGAAUCUCGAAUCCAACGUAACAUCCAUUUUAGCACACGUUUGUAAUAUCUGUUGAAAAAACAAACAAAAAAUACAAGGCUUUGAGAGGAGAGCGGUCAAUUUUUUUAAAAUAAAUUUAUUUUAAAUUAUUUUUUUAGCUUUUUAAAUUAUUUUAAUAUAUUAAUAUUAAAAUAAAUUUUAAAAACUAAAAAAAUAUUAUUUUAAUAUAUUUUUUAAAAAUAAUAUCUAACGGAUUCUCUAACACCAUGAACUAGAAAAAGUAAAAAGGUGCAAGAUGGGUUUGCCAGCGAGAAAGCAACCAGUUGACAAUUACGUUUGAAAAUGAGCAGUUGCCCAAUGGUACAUCGCCACGUUCCAGGUUCUACACUGUUCCGUGAUCUCAUCACGCAGGAAAAGUAUAGGCUUUCAUUUGCGACGCCUCGACACUCUCUCCGACUUUUGAUUAUAAGCCAAUAAAUAAAUAGAGGUGUAUUUUAAUACUUUUUUUUGUUUCAAUCUUACAAUUAAUUUAAUUGAUAUAAUUAUAAGGUCCGUUUUAACUAAUAGGAUUAUGAAUUAUCAAACGAAUCUUAUAUUGUGGAAUCUUAUAUUGAAACCAUGAAUAUGCAACCUCGAAAACUCCGGCAAGAGAUUGCAUGCGGGAACAUGAUUAGUCAAUCUCAAUAAUAAUGCGAAAAUAAAAUAAAUGACUCAAUCAAUUUUUAUAUAUUAAUGCGAUUCUCUAAAUUGUUCUUGAGGUAAUUUUAUUUUUAAAUAUAAAUUAAUCUUAUAACUUAUCUUUUUUAUAAUGUUUUUGGAUCAAAUUAUAUAAAAAAAUAAUUAUGGGGUUUGCAAAUUUGAUUAUUAGAUUUUGACUAUUUUUAUUUAAAAAAUAUUUUUAUAAACCAGGCAAAUAAAAAGCUUUUGAUUGUAAAUCAUGUAAGUGAUUAUGAUAGUUUAAAUUGAAAAAGAUAUAUAUAUAUAUUAUAAAUUUAAUUAUUUUUAUAAAAAAUAAUGAAAAAUAUAUCUAGAAACUUAAUUGAUUGUAUGUUUGAACAAAAUGAUAGAUAAUUUAUGUUUUAUAUAUAAACAAUGAAUAGUUUUGUGUUGUUUAAGUUGCAAUUGUGUUUUAAAUAAUAUUUUUUAAAAAUUUUAAAAAUAAAAUUUAUUUUAAUUUUUUAAUAUUAAAAAUAUUUUUUAAAAAAUAAAAAAAAAUUUAAAAAAUUUUAAAGACAAUAAAUAACAUUUUUUUAUUUUUAUAAAAAAAAGGUGGUUGGAGAUGAAUAAAUGUUAAGCGGUUGGUACAUUCACAUAUUAUAGAAAAAACAAAAAAAACGGUGUCGUUUUCUAAAAUGAAGGACACAUUGAAAGGAACACCACCCGAAGAUAAAAACAAGGAGUGUACACUCCCAAGACACAAAGACCAUCGAAUGGGACAAAGUUAAAGAGCAGCCACAAAACAAACGAAAGCGGUGCAGACCACACAGCUGGAACGGCACCCAAUAACUACAGUAACUAGAUGGAGUGAUAUAUAUAUAUAGGUCCCACGUUUCACUAACGGACCGCAUCAAGAUCCAACUACUACAUCAAAAAAGUCUCAGCUUCCCUUCUUUUUAUUUAUUUUACAUGCUAUCAAAUAUUUAAAAUGAGAAUAAAAAAACUGCGUGACUUGUUCUACCUAACCAUCCAAUAGGGAACUGAUCAUCCAAUCCAAAUGAUGAUCUAGUUGAAGAAAAUUUAACGAUGCCGUUGUGAAACAACAGACUAAUAAAAGAUUAAAUCGCAAAGAAAUCUAGGGAUUUAAAUGAAAAAGGUGACAACACACUGAUAUAUACUAACCCGUGAAAUAGACAACUCUGGUAAUGGAGAACACAACCAUGAGAUAACCUGAUUAGAUAAUUUGUCACUUUCCUUUUCUUUUCUUGUUCUUUUCCCGGUCAGGCCUUGAUAGGGUCUUAACAAGUUGUGGGUCCACUUAAAGAAUGUAGAUGAAACUUAAUAAAUAAAUAAAUAUUAAAAAAUAAAAUUAAAAAAAUAUUAGCUUAAAAAAACAUGGAAGCUGUAUAAAUAUCCUAGAUUGGCGUUAAUAGUUUAAACUCAGUCAAAAAAUCAUAAACUCGGGUUUAGUUAAGAAACUCAGUUUCCAGCCAGUUUAAUAUUAGAAGAUAAAAUUGUUAAAAAAAUCUAUUUUUUAAAAAAGUGUUAAAGAAAAAAAAUCACAAUAAAAAUAAUGAGGAUAAAAUCACAUCAGAAAAAAAAAUUGAAGGAUGAUGAAAAUAUAAAAAGAACUUAAAUUCUAAAAUCAUCUAAAAAAAUCAAUUAAAAUAAUGAGAGAAACAAUUAUGAAAGAUUAAAAAAAAUUAAAGGAAGAUGAAACUGAAAAAUAAAUAAAUAUUGAAGAAUUAAACUAAAAAAAUAUGUUUCUUAAAAAAGGGAAAAAACACAAUCAAACUCAUGCGAAUAUUUUAAACAUGAGUUAAUCCUCCAAACUCACAACCGGUUAAAUCUUAGACCCAUGUUUAAUCAAGAAGUUCAAUUCUUAACAAAUUUAAUAUGGAGUAUGAAAUGUAAAAAAAAAAAUUACCAAAGCAAAAAAAAUAGCCAAAAAAAUAAUUAGGAUAAAAUUAUACAAGAAAAAAAAUAAAAGGGGGAUAAAAUCGUAAAAAAGCUUCAAUUCAAGAAAUUGUUUAAAAUAAUAAAUCAAAAUUUAAAAAAAUGAUAAUCAAAUCUGAUAAAAAAAAUUUAAAAAUCAACUCUAAAUAUAAACCAUUUCAGUUAAAAAAAUAGUAAUAAAAAAAACUUGGAUUAAAUAUGAAUGAAAAAAAUUAAAGGAAUGGUUUGAAUUUUUGAAGAGACAUGCGCAGAAAUCAAGGCAGAGAAUAAAAAAAAUAAAAUAUCAGCACCAAACUAGAGAUCAUAAUGCAAAAUAUACCACCGUGAAAGAAAAAAACCAGCGAAACAAAUCUAAAAAUACAAAAAAAAAAAAUCAGCGUUCAACGCUAGAAUCUUCUACACUUUGGUGUUUGGCAUUGUGGUGGAAAAAUGCUUUUCAAAAAAUUCAAAAUUUUUUUUUUGCUUUAAGUUAAUAUGUUUUUGAUGUUUUCAAAUCAUUUUGAUGUGCUGAUCUCAAAAAUAAUUUUUAAAAAAUAAAAAAAUAUUAUUGACAUCUUUUCUAAAUGAAAAAUACUUUGAAAAAUAAUAACAACUACACUGCCAAACACGCAGUGAUGGGGAUGAAACAUUACACAUAUGCAACCUUUGUUUAGUAUUUUAUAUUUAAUAAAAGAAAAUAGAGUGAAAAUGCGAAACAAUCCCUAUACAACAAUUUAUCUAUCAUUGCUUUUUGAGGACAUAAUUGUCAAUUGCCUUUUCACUGCUCAAAUAAAAAGAAAAGUACCAAAAUUGACUGUGUUUAAAAAUUUAUUAUUUUUCUUCUUCCAAGGGUAAAUCAAUAAUUGAAUCGUGGUAAAAAUAAGAAAAAUUAACUGCAAACAAUUUUAUAACAACUAUAGACCAUAUCCAAAGAGUGAAUUACUCUAAGAAAAACAAGUUUAUAGAUGAUUUUUUAAAAUCAGAUAAAUACAUAAUUAUAUAUAUUGCAGCCUUUUAUUUUAUUUUUUGUUUUACACAUGCAUGGGCUGGAUAUUCCAUCAUAUUAGCCAGUUUAUCAGGGACACCACAUGGGUGUGUGUCGUUUUUCAAUCAAAAUCCCCUCAUUAUUAUUAAUUCGAUGGAUAUGGAUCAAAUAAUUUUAGAUUAAUUUUAAUUUACCUUGCUAAGAUCAGGGCUAAUUUAAUUUCUUUUUAUAAGAUGUCAAUUAAGUCAAUGUUGAACUUAUUCAUACACUAAGAGAGAGGCUGUAUUACAAAGUAUCAUGCAAUUUUAACUUCAACAAAAUAAAGUUUUCAUCGCAGAUAAUGGUAGAAUUCAUAUAUAAAAAUUACAAUUAAUUUUAUAAUCAAAUAAUAAAUUAUAACUGUUAAAUAAUAAAUGAUGCAGCAAAUCCUUAGCCAAGAAAUAAAUGAAGGUUCUCUUUUGGAUGCUCAUAAAAUUAUAUUAUUUAUGGAUAUCGUUUUCAAUAAAAGGAAGCCAGAAGCCAUGAAAACAGUGAACAGAAGCAAAAUCUUUCCCGACAUUAAAUCUCAUGAAUUGGGCAUGGUUAAACCAUAUACUAUACACACUCCAUGAUCCCUUCGAUCAGCAUUAUGAAGCGUGUUUUCAUGAAGCACUCUAUUUUUCAAACAAAAUAAUAGUGACAACUCGAGAAGUCACUAAGCUGACAAGCCAAAAAAAAUUGCCAAGAAAAGAGAGAGAGUAACUAGAAAGCAAUUGAAUAUAUAUAUAUAAUAAAUAGUUUUUAUAUUCAUUUUUUAUAUAUAAUUUUGAAUUAUUUUAAUACAUUAAUAUCAAAAAUAAUAUUUUAAAUAAAAAUUAUUUUAAAAAAUAAUUAUUAUCGUAAUAUUAAACAGUAUGAAAAUAAAACUAGUUUUGAAUGGCUACGAAACAAUUAUGAACCUAGAUGUAAUUGGUUCCGGUCUUCUAUUUUCUCUGGGUUUGGUUAUUUUACUCCAAUUAUCUUGUUGGAAUGUUAAAUCAAAUUAAUGCACGAGAUAAAAGCCGAUAUAUUUUAUGUAAAGAAAAAAUGAUGGGAGGGAUUUUUUUGACCUUAGUAUGGACGCCAUGAUUACGGGGCAUUAGUGGGUGGGAGGAUGGAAGUGAGGGCCACAAACGCCACUUCAAUUUUCAUCCUCAGAGGGGACGAUAUUAUGGAGGAAUCCCAUGAGAUGGUGCUUUCACACACAACGACAUCACAAGCCAGCCGACGAGCACCAUUUGUUUCAUCAAAGCUCCAACAUGUUUGAAAAACACAAAAGUAAAGCUAGUGGGUUUGGUUUUUCCUACCUAGUUAUUUCGUUCAAAUCAGACCAAGCCAGAAUUGUAGAGACUUGUCCAGCUAUGUUCUUACAGCACAUUUUUACGACUCCAGUUCAGUCCCGUUCCACACCAGAAACAAUCUAGGACAACCUGUCUGGGCUCUAAAAUCUUGAUAUACAGCCAUAAAUUAGGUAUAGUUAGCAGAUUGAUGGGGAACAAUCAAGGGAAUAUUUUGACACUCGAACUAACCCUAAGGUCACAGCAGGAUGUGGAGGAGAUUAACUAGAAGGAAAGAAACAAGCUGGUCAAUAUGAAUGGAAUCAAGCUUGCGACAGCCGAUCAUCUAGUCUAGUCAAGUGUAUUGACAUCAGCCUUGGAUUUUCCACAGAUCCUGUAGGAAAUAAAAUGGUAGAGCACGGUAGAAAUGCUGAUAAUAUAGAUCUUCAUGUCUAUUAUUGCUGCAUUGAUUCUAGAUGGAGCCGCACCUACAUAUUUUCCGGUCAGCAAGGUUGUAAUUUGCAAAGAACGUCUGAAUUCCAAUGUUCUAAUCUGACCAAAUGAGCGGUGAAGAGGCAGUGAAUCACCAAGCAUAAAAUCUCACAUUUGGUGGCAAAACCAUGGGUCACCUUGCUGCCAUGAACAGACCUUGCACUUUCCAAAUGGCCACAGUUUAAAAAUAUGAAACCCCAAUACAGAUCAGCUAUUUUGGGUUUGAUUUUAUAUAUUUAGAAUGCCACAACAUUUCGGGUAAGCUCAUCCCAUGCAGCUCGAUAUACAAGGCCUGUUUAGUUAAUUUUUUCUUAGCUAAGGCCCACAUAGGCUCCAUAGAAACCAAAGCCCAAAUACGAUUCAUUGGUGUUCGAAAGGCAGUAGAAAACUAGCCAAGUACUAGCAGGUGUUGGAUUUUAAUGUAAGACAAGAAUGUGCAUGCAUUGUGAAAAUAUUUCUUGGUAUCAUAAGAAAUCUUGAUUCCCUAAUCAGAAAUUAAUGCAUGCUUUUAUAAGAUAAACUAAAAAUUAUAUGAACUGAUAAAUUAUAAAAAUUGUUAAUGCUAGCUAAAAACUAAACUGAGAAGUUUAAAUAUAGAUGCAAACAAAGAUAUUUGAUUUCAUGACAUGAAACGCUAUUUGAUUUUUAUUUAUUUAAUUAUAUGAUAAUCACAAUAAAUUUUAAUAAUUAAAAUUUCAUAUAAAAAUUAUAAUUGUUAAUAUAAAUUCUUCAUACAUGAAAUCUUCAUCUCAUAUGACUCCUCGUUUAAUUCUUUUUUAAGUUAUUGGAUCUUUUUUAUCGGUCGAGAAUCUCCUUCCUUUAUCCACUUAGUCCUCGAGGUGUAAUUAGGACAAAUUGAAUCACGUUUUGAAGAUACAAUUGAAUAUUUUCCCUUUUCUUUUAUAAUUAUUUCAAAGAAGAAGAUUCUUUUUUUUUUUACCAAACAUAUAAGGAUCCAAUCAUGAUCUUAUAAUAAGAAUAAGAACAAGAGAUAUUUUUCGAUCAACCCUUUGCCCCUCAUUUUUUGAAAAUCAGAAACAUUUUGUUAAGUUUGAUUUUGUUUAUUUGAAAUACGGGCUCUUCUAUAUUUUUUUUAUUAUUUCCUUAUUUUUUAAUCCAUUUAUAUCAUUCUUUAAGUCCUAUAGGUUUGAUCAUGUAAAAUCUUACCUAUUUUUUCAUGGAGCGAAGGGUACAAAAUAAAUCAAAUUGAUUUUCGAUCAAAAGUAUUGUGUGAAAUAUUUUGUUUUUUUCUCUUUCACUACCCCUAUCUUAUAGGAAUAAUGUUUGAAUCAAUAUAGAACCUUUUUUUUCUUUAUCUAUAUGAAUCAAUAUUAUCAUAUUCCAAUUCUUUCCUGACAUGUCCCAAAGGGAAUCUUGAAUUGGAUCCUAAAUUGACAGGUUUGUGUGGAUUCAUGUGAACUUAUCUAUACAAUUAUACACUUUUUGAAUAUGAAUCCAUUUUCUAAAAGAUCCUAACUUUCAUGCUUUAAUGGGUCUUCAAGAUCUUCUGAAUGAUUUAUAUUGUGUUAAAAUGAUAUUUAUAUGACAUGGUAGCAAUGAAACUAGGGAAAGUAUAGAGAAGAGAUAUUUUUUUAUAAAUUUAAUUAGUAUUGGAUUAUGACUCAUUAAUAUUAGAUUAGUUUUAGUUAGUGAUGAUACUUAGUGAGUUUUUUCUUCCAAGAUGAACUAUUGGUACAAGUCCUACAUUUUAUCUCUGUAGAUCGAGGAGAAAAAGGCUUGGCGAGAAGAGGAUUGUACCAUGACAGAAGCAAGAGGUUAGCCUAUUUAAAGUAUUCAACAUGAAAUCUAGAAAUUUAAUGGAGUUGGACUCUCAUGUCAAUCCUAAUGAAUCGUUCUUUCCAUUCGGGAUAUAUAUGUAUUUUACUUAUAUUAUUAUGAAAUUCAUAAAUGAAAUAGUUAGUAAAUAAAAUAAAAUAAUUAAGAGUGAGGUUACUAUUAUUAUUUUUGUAGUGAUGGAUCUUAUAUGUGUUUCUAAAAAUGAAAUUUGUUAAUUUUCAGAGUUUUAAAAGGGCUUAGAAACAUAUAAGAACACUUCAAUGGAAAUUAAAAAGAUACGCAACUCCAAUUCUUUUGAAAAUGAUAAGAUCUUUGGCGCAAAAAAAAGGAUUGAUUCAUAUCAUAUCGACUUGGCUAUGAUUUUUCUAUUUUUUAAAGAAUAUUGAUUUAAUAAUACCUAGUCGGGGUAUUGUCCUACUUGUAUCAAAUAAAAUAUGUUAAGUCAAAUCUUCUUCAUAUAAAACUUGCUUAAUUUAGAUAAAAAAAAUCAUAUACUUAAUAUAAACUCUUCAUAUAUGAAAUCUUCACCUCAUACGACUCCUUGUUUAAUUCUUUUUGAAGUUAUUGAACCUUUUUUAUCGGUCAAGAAUCUUCUCCCUUCAUCCACUAGUCCUCGAAGUGUAAUUAGGACAAAUUGAAUAUUUUUCCUUUUCUUUUAUAAUUAUUUUCAAAGAAGAAGAUUUUUUUUUUUACCAAACAUACGAGAAUCCAAUCAUGAUCUUAUAAUAAGAACAAGAACAAGAGAUAUUUUUUGAUCAACCCCUUUUCCCCUUAUUCUUCGAGAAUCAUAACAUUUUGUCAAGUUUGAUUUUGUUUAUUUGAAAUAUGGGCUCUUCUUUAUUUAUUUAUUAUUUCCUUUAUUUUUUAAUUCACUUAUAUCAUUCUUUAAGUCCUAUAGGUUUGAUCAUGUAAAAUCUUACUUAUUGUUUUAUGUACUCCUUGCAAGAAUCUUUUCCUUGGCACACAACCUCCCCUUCUUCCUCACUCUUUAAUGGUUCCUCGCUUUUAGUUGGUUCUUCAGGAUUGGUUAUUAUUGCCCCAAAUAUAGAAGCUUCCUCCUCCUUCGGGUUCACCUGCUGCUGAACCUUAGGUUCCACUGUGGCUGGCACAUUCUGCUGAUCACCCAUUGUUUUCUCAUCGGAUGAUUCUGUAUCAUUUUGCAACUUAUGAAUAAUCGUGUUGCUGUCAAAUUUCAAAAUGUAGGCCUGAUUGCAUCCCUCAUAGAGCCUCUCUCCUA
rnacentral:lncRNA from 1 species